UGGGGAAUCUUGGACAAUGGGCGCAAGCCUGAUCCAGCCAUGCCGCGUGAGUGAAGAAGGCCUUCGGGUUGUAAAGCUCUUUUGUCAGGGACGAUAAUGACGGUACCUGAAGAAUAAGCCCCGGCAAACUUCGUGCCAGCAGCCGCGGUAAUACGAAGGGGGCUAGCGUUGUUCGGAAUUACUGGGCGUAAAGCGCACGUAGGCUGAUUGUUAAGUCAGGGGUGAAAUCCCAGAGCUCAACUCUGGAACUGCCCUUGAUACUGGCAAUCUCGAGUCCGGAAGAGGUUAGUGGAAUUCCCAGUGUAGAGGUGAAAUUCGUAGAUAUUGGGAAGAACACCAGUGGCGAAGGCGGCUAACUGGUCCGGUACUGACGCUGAGGUGCGAAAGCGUGGGGAGCAAACAGGAUUAGAUACCCAGGUAGUCCCUGAGCGGGCUGGCAAGGCGCAU
rnacentral:rRNA from 1 species